rnacentral:rRNA from 1 species
GAUGAACGCUGGCGGCGUGCCUAAUACAUGCAAGUCGAGCGAACGGACGAGAAGCUUGCUUCUCUGAUGUUAGCGGCGGACGGGUGAGUAACACGUGGAUAACCUACCUAUAAGACUGGGAUAACUUCGGGAAACCGGAGCUAAUACCGGAUAAUAUUUUGAACCGCAUGGUUCAAAAGUGAAAGACGGUCUUGCUGUCACUUAUAGAUGGAUCCGCGCUGCAUUAGCUAGUUGGUAAGGUACCGGCUUACCAAGGCAACGAUGCAUAUCCGACCUGAGAGGGUGAUCGGCCACACGGGAACUGAGACACGGUCCAGACUCCUACGGGAGGCAGCAGUAGGGAAUCUUCCGCAAUGGGCGAAAGCCUGACGGAGCAACGCCGCGUGAGUGAUGAAGGUCUUCGGAUCGUAAAACUCUGUUAUUAGGGAAGAACAUAUGUGUAAGUAACUGUGCACAUCUUGACGGUACCUAAUCAGAAAGCCACGGCUAACUACGUG